rnacentral:lncRNA from 1 species
GGGGAGCGUGGCGGAGCUCUUCGAUCCGUUGGUUCAUCUCCUGGAGCCUUUGAUCUAGGAGGUCCUUUCGACUGCGAGUCUUGAGGAUCUUUUGGCAGAAUGGAGGUAGGGAUCCUUCGGGGGUGGAAUCAUGAUCAGACUGAGGGCGCUCCACCCUCGGAUUCUUCUUUCCGGGGAAGACAGGGGGACUGGCCCAAGUGGCCCGCCCUAUC